rnacentral:rRNA from 1 species
GCAGCCACCGGGACCGACGCGGAGAGCAGCGCCAGCCCUAAGCGGGCACGCGACGCGAGCGAGAUGCCUUGCACGUUUUCCCAGUUUUGGGAUCGGCGGUCGUCAAGAGCAGUUCGAGCGCGGGGGAGACGGAGCAGAGGAGGGACGAGGGAGGAGAGGGUACUGCGGCGGGAGCUCGGGCGCGGCGGAGGUGGAGCAGAGGAGGGAAGAGGGAGGAGAUGUUGCGACGGCGGGAGCUACGCGGCAUUCCCUGCGGCAACUGUGCAGCCCCUAUGCGUCGCCGCCUCGAGUCGGCUCGUGUCGUCUUUGGGUGAGGAUUGGGAUAAACGAGCUAACUGUUCUCGUCCCGUUGCCUAACCUAGCUCCCGCGGGACCGGAGUGACGGCGACGUGGACCUAAGAGAUCGGCGACGCACCUCAGCGGGACCGGUGGCGCAGCUCAGUGGAAGCAGCGGCGGCGCUCAGUCGAGGUGACAACGGCGGUCCUUAGGGAAGGACUGUUCCAUUGUAGGAGGUUUAGGGACGAGAGGUACCAGGAUGACGGGACGAACUACACACACACCGAAGAUUGACCUCUCCCAGAGGCGGCCACAGCCGGACGUGGCCACUCCAGCCCGCGCUGGACCGAAGGUCCCGCCGAACUGAUGUCAGAUGUCUCGUCAUUUUUUACCCUCCUAAACCCUCGACGAGGCAAAACCUAUACCCCCGACGUGCCCGAACCUCGUCGUUCGGUACCGUUGCUUCCUUUCAAGGAUCCCUAAACUAACUACCUCCGUAGUGAUAAACCUCGACCUAAUAGGUAAAAACGUCGUAGUCGUUACAACAAAAACAAACCUUACCGGUCAAGAGUUAAAGAUUUAGCCGAUAUGAUAUGAAGAACAGUCCAAUGUAAUAGAACGAACCAAAGUCAGAUAUACAUCGUGUUUUUAUCCACUGCACCAACCAAACAUACAAUGUGAUUCCUUGUGGUGGUAUUCCUUUUCCCGUACCGUGAAACAAAUAUAAACCAGACAAGGAUAAGCCAAACGACAUCAUGAACGAUGUGGUAAAGUUCAAAGAAUGACAAACGAAGAACGACAAAGUAACAUAAGUCCAUACUAUAUAAAAAGUUGAUAUGUUCGUGAACCCAUUCAGUCCUUUUGACUUGGUUGCUGUUUGUAAAAUGACCACUACAAAAAAUAGACUCUACACUUUCUACGUAGAACAGGGGACUAUAUAACCGAAUUAGAGAACUAAAAAAGGGACUGUACGAUUAUAUCUCGGUCUAUACGUACUAAGUAGUAUGUGUAAUGUCGGUUAAUAGGUAACCAAGAAAACAGGUAUCUCCACUAAAACAAACCUGGUAAUCAGAUCCAUCACUGUAAAACUAGCUAUUCCGUGUUCAAAUAAAAGAAAAAGUGAGCCCGAUGUGAUUUCAUUCGUAGUGGCAAUCACUUUUCUUCCGUAUGUUUAGUACUUCAGAAACGGAACCGAUACACGGAGCAAAUCAACAGUGAAUAAAUAAAGACCCUUCAAUAAUUUAAGAGUAGCUCGAAAGGAAUACGAAAUGUAACGAUUUCUUCUUUAAAUUUAUGCGUUAUAAAAACUAUAGGCUCCUCCACUCUCCUCUACUUUUUCCCAACAUUACACAUUCCAAGAUGAAACCGCGCAGAGACCGGUUACUACCGACCUAGGUAGACUGCGAGAAGGUUCGUCUCGUCACGUCUAAACGACUGAUCAUGUUGUAGAUUUGGAACCGAUGAGAUCGAAGAAAAAUGUAGAGAAUCAUAGUUGUUUAUUCAACCAAUGUCAUAUAUGAACUUCUAACGUAGUCCGUGUUUUACGAACCGAUUAGUUGGCCAAUUAACUCAACACGGAUGCUUCCUAGUCAUCUUAUCAACCAAAGAAGAUUUUAUUUACUCCUAAUCAAACCAACGGUACAUUGCCAUUCCGGUCUUACCACCAUGACUUUUCACCAAGACAUUACCAGUAUACUCAACACGUCAACCUUGAACUAAGAAAAAUUCAACCUCACCGAUCCAACAAAUAUACAUAACGUAAUAAAAAGAUGCCGCACGACAAGAAAGAUUACUAAAAAAAUUUUCAAAUCAUAAAUUCAAAUGCCGUAAUAAGACGCCGUAUAACAAGAAAGAUGUUGUAUGACAAUUAUAGAAUAAGAAAAGUUGUAAUGUGCCAAUUUUGGAAGACAUAUUCUAGAACGCGAAAGUUGUAGACGAGUACCGCGACACGCAUAAGACGAUACUUGACAAAUGUAAUCUCUCAACACCAUGGAAGUAAACAUACCAAGGAAAAUCGACUACAACCAACGAGUAUGACUGUUUUACACACAAUUGUUUACUAACGUCUCGUCGUCUCUUUGCACAAAGAUGCUUACACGGUUUUGACUACCUAAAUUGAUGUCCAUAACGUGAUAAUAAGAUGUCCAUAGCAACAUAACGUAAUAGGUUGACAUUCAGACAAGAUUUGAGAUUCGGGCUACAUUUACACUACCUUCUAACCCGGUAAAUUAAACUUGGUUUUUCCCACUAUACGAGAGUCAACCAACUUAGACAGGUCUGGACUUUUAAUCUAUAUGAAACUUUCGAACUACAUACUCAUCCUCUAUCAACUAUUUCCACAUGAGAACAUCCUCUAAUAAUGGACGAAGAUACACCACUUGUUUACUCAUUCGUCAAAUCAACUAUUUCCACAUCCGUUGUGUCGUAAAAACAAGGUAAAAAACCAAACAUUCAGUUCCUACAAAUCGGAAACGACUUAUACAAUUAACACUUUGUCAAAACUACGUUAAAAACUUGGCAAGUCAGACAAAACAAACACGUCAAGUACCAUGGUAUAGACGUCCGAUGUAGAACACAUCUAAACCGAUGGUGUAAUAUACUACAACAAAGUGAAACGAGUCAGUUCCAAAGUCAUUUUUUUACUUAACUUGUAUAAAAACAUCUGUAUGUUUUUGCCAGACGUAAAAAAUGUAGUGGGACUGUAGGUUAAGUUUGAUAUAAAAGACGGAUCUGACAACGUAUGGAUACUCUAGUACCCUAUUGAGUCUGUACUCGGCCACAGGUCACACGUCACUCCCACUCAUUACACCGUAGUCGGAUAAGACCUGGACACAUAAUAUGAGGAAGGCUAGUUUUAAUUCACAGCAACAAAAUCAAGUUUUUGGUGCUGUGAAUAAAACCUAGCCUCCCUCUCGUAAAUUCUCUAAGGAACGUAUGUGUACUAAGUCUUUUCAUGUCACACCCUACGGUAAUAUUUGAGUACUUCAGACUAGGACCAUCACUGUACUAAAUGAGACAAACUAGUUUAUCCAGCUUCGGUUUCGACAAGAAUAACUUAGAGUACUACGGGGACUACGAACGACGACAUUCGUUCUUUUAACUCAUGUUCAAAGUUACAGUUGGACUCAAAAGUAACACCUACAAACUCUCAGUUGGACUUAAAACUUUUCUUGAAAAUCCUACUAAUCGAUAUCAUGACACUGUUUAUUAGUCCUUUCUAUUAAAACAUCCCACUAGUAACAGAAAGUAUUAUUAUAAUAUCGGCAGCCGGUUUGUUACUUCCAACGUGAUGUUGAUGAGCUGAUGUUCAAAAUACACCUCAAAGAGACAUGUCGAACGUGCUUGAGUCACUCUAGUCCUUAGUAUUAACGAGUGUAAAAAAAGAGAACUUUGCCUACACAGUAGGGACGUAAAAAAAAGAGCCUUAGUUCCUACAAAGUUUGUAACACACUCGAGUGGAAGUUUUACACCCUUGUCUGGUACGGGUAUAUAAUAGUUUGUUUGGUUUG